rnacentral:rRNA from 1 species
CUCGUAGGCGGUUUGUCGCGUCGGGAGUGAAAUCCACUGGCUUAACUGGUGGCUUGCUUUCGAUACGGGCAGACUGGAGGUAUGCAGGGGGAGAACGGAAUUCCUGGUGUAGCGGUGAAAUGCGCAGAUAUCAGGAGGAACACCGGUGGCGAAGGCGGUUCUCUGGGCAUGUCCUGACGCUGAGGAGCGAAAGUGUGGGGAGCGAACA